rnacentral:lncRNA from 1 species
UCUAUUUCACUCCUUCUCUGUCACGUGUUCUCUUAUUCUCCUUUAAAGUUAGACAUAAGAAUAUGUAAUCUUGUUGUUAAGGCAAUUCUUUAUUACCUGAGAUAGAGUAAAUAAAACAAUAGAUAAUAUAUCAUCCUUAGACAUAUAUUUCCGAGGUAAAAGGAAUGAAUAAGAUUUUGAUAAUUUGUUAUAACGAUGAACUCCGGUGAAUGUGAGGCACUUUCAUUAUUGCAUAUUUUUAAAACAAACAUCAAAUCAUUUUUGAAUCACCUUACAUCCUUUAUAAAAAAUACAAAAAAUAUUUUAUUUAUUUUGAUAUGCAAGAGAUAAAAAGGGAUACCUUGAUUUUUAAAAGUCCAUGUGGGAUCAAUGUCUUAUUACAACGACAAAAUUGUGCACUUGCGGUGAUAUCACCUUACCGAAUAUUGAACAAGCCUGUUGUGGUGACCUUUUGAUGCUUGCUCUCCGCGAAUUGACUGACUAAUUUGCGAUGGAAAUCUACAUACUGAGUAUGGAAUGACUUGGAAGGUUCAUGUACCAUGAGAGUUGCAUCUUUCAAUGUGUCGGAUAAGAGUUUGCACUUCAAGGGUUCGACUGCUGCAAGGAUUUUCAUAUGGGUGCCCAAAGCCAUCAGUUGUUCUAAAGGGUCCCUUUUCCGUCAAACUUCUCCAGGUUUAGAGGUUUGAUGGUUACUAGAUCAAAGGCGUUGACUUAAAGGUUGAUGGUUCUCGACAUCUCUGUCACUGAAGUCCUCGUUGGCAUGUAAUUAUUAUUGCAUUCCAUGUAUUUGUGUGUGUAAGGUCUUGUUCUGGUGCCACAAAUCUUCAACCGUGACCUAGAUGGUUGACAUAGUUUCAUUGUCAAUUGAUCGCACCAUCUAAUUUAUAUUGACAAAGCGAUAUUGGGGAAUAUCUAUAUUAUGGCCCCCACAGUGGGUUCAAGAUGUUCUUGCUAGUGAACUUUAGGUCAAAACUAGUAGGAAGGGCGCCAUGUACUAAGUUGUCAAUGUUUAGCCUUUUCGGGGGAUCAAAAGUGAAUGAGUUAGUGUUUGGCAUAAGGCCACUAUAUAUAAAGAAGGAUUAAGGUUUCCCCCCCUUGGCAUCUUUGCAGUUUGGCUCGAUGUUAGUGGCAGCUACUUGUUUAUCAAGAUUUGCCUAGAGUCGGUGUAGACUUAACCCCCAAGCAACGUCGCCUUAAGGAUCAAACCAUUGGCCUCCUCGUUCUCUUGUUGGGCCCUUAUAAUGAUGGUUGGCCCGACCAACCAUCCUAUAUAAUUACUUCAUUUAUAUAAUAAUGUUUUAUUUUAAAUUUAUGUAGGAAUUGUAGUAGUAAAGUUGUUAAAGAUGACGUCUCAGUGGAAAAAGUUGCUGAUUUAGGUACCUAAAUAUCGUUCUUUGUUGGUAAAUGGUUGGACGGAAGGUUUUGUAUUAAGUGCACUUCACCAAUCUGAAGAUGAUUGACACCAACCUUAUAUAUGCAUUUGUGGAGAGGUGGCAUGCUGAAACAUUGUCAUUUCAUAUAUCAUUUGGCGAAAUGACGAUUAAGCUCACCACAUAAUCGAGUGUAAUUAUGAGAGAAAUGUAAAAGUGGGUACGAGAGCAAAAUGGAAAGUUCAUGAAAAAUUUAAUGGUAAAGAUAUAAAUGUAGGAAUGUAGAAUAAAAUUUGUCCUUCACAUAUCAAUCAUUCUCUCGUGUUUUUUUUUUAACUCAUAUUUUUAAAGUAAGACAAUCUUAAUAAUUCAGAGUUUGAUGAGAGGUAAUUAAACUCUAGCCAAUAAUUAUAUAAUAAUCAGACUCAAACUCUCCCAAAGAUCUUCUUUCUAUCAUCCAAUAAAUUGUUUGUGCAUGGUUAAAGACGAACCAAACUUCACUCGCCACUUGCCAACCAAAUGGAAGAAAACCAACUUUCAUUUUGUUCACAACAAAGAAUAAAACAAAAUCAUUUUACCCACUUGUGCAUACCACAUGCCAAUAUCCAUCCAUUUUGAAAAAUAAAAACAUCUCUGUACAGAUUUCACCCAUUAGACUACAACCCAUUCUUUGCAGUUUCUCACAAUCAUAUAUACGCGUGUACAAAUAUGUUGCCGUAAGAUAAAUGGUUGGACACUUUUAUUCUAAAACUAGCUCUAAUAUUGUUUAUUUUAUUGAGUGAAAUUCAUUUUUAUCUCACCAUAUUUUACAAUAUGGAACACAUAUUCUUAAAAACAAAAUAUAGAACACAUGAAUUUCCUUCAAUAAAAAAAUAAUGUUAAAAAGAGAGUGUCAUAACACUCGUCAAAAAUAAUAAUGAUAAGAUAAAAUACACCUUCAAUUACCUUACCUCGAAAAAUUCAUCAAAUUUUUAGAGUAUGUUUUGAUGAAGUGAUAUAAAUUUUAGAGAAAUUAAAGUUUUAACUUGUUCAAAAAAGAAAUUAAAGUUUUAAGCAAUUUAAUUGUAUUUUGAGGGGUCAAUUUGCAGCUCUUUGAUUAUUAUUUUUUUAAAUAUGAACAUCAAAAUGUAAAAUUUAAAAAUAUUAUAAAAAGAAGGGUUAAUUAAGUAAAUGGUCCUAUAAAUAUUCAGAAUUUUGUAUUUAGUCCCUACAAAAUAAAAUUAUACUUUUUAGUUCCUAUAAAAUUUUCCAUCGGCAUUUUUAGUUCCUAUAAAAUUUUCCAUCGGCAUUUUUAGUUCCUAUAAAACUUUUCCAUCAACUUUUUUAGUCCCUGUCAAAAAUAUCCAUCAACAUUUUUGGUCCCUAAAAUGCUUAAGGAAAAUGUCACAGAGACUAAAAAGUGUGAUUUUAUUUUGUACGGACUAAAAACAAAACUGUGAAUAUUUAUAGGGACAAAAAACUUAAUUAACCCUAAAAAGAAAGAAAUUUGAAAUACCUAAAGCUAGAUUAUCAUUUAAAAUUCUAUAAAUUUAACUUGGACAAAAUAUUUCAUAUAUUUUUAUAAUUUUAAAAAUGUACUAAAUUAUGAUCCAAACAAUAAAAUUUACCCAAAAUAAUUUGAAUUCCCUCAAAAAAAUUAUAUUACCUUAAAAAUUACUCCAUCCAGACAUGCUCAUAAGGAAUGAAUCCUCUCAAUUGUUUUACUAUCGUGUCUCGUGAUUGUUAUCAAUCUUACCAUUAAAUAUUUUUACUCUCAUUUUUUGUAUUAAAAACCAAUUUUACCCUUUUACAUUCAAGGGUGAGAUUGACAAUUGAGAUACACGAAUUAAAAACAAUUGAGAAGGUCCUUCCCAAAUUCUUUACAAAAAUCUACUUUAUUUUAUUUUGGAAAUACCUAUCAUACUCAAGUUUUUAAUGGACAUCAUGUAAAUGACGGUGCUAGGGGUGUGCGUGGGUGGGUUUAAGUUGGGUUUGGCCAAAUCCAAAACCAAAUUAAAUAAGAUACUUCGAUUUGGGUGAGGUAAAAUAACCACCCGUUAUACUAUUGGGUGGGUUUGGGCAAACCCUCUAAUUUUUGGGUUGGGUUGGAUUGGAUAAUGGGUUGCCCAACUUAUUUUUCUAUUUUUUUAACAUUAAAUGACUAAAUGAUAAGUCCUCAUAAUUUUGUUUUAAAAUAGUACUUUACUUUUUAAUUUUCUUAAAAAAAUGUUUAACUUAGAAUAUCAAAUAAGAAACUCCAUCAUAAAAUACUUGCAACAAACAUAAAUUGCAUGACAUAAAAUUGCAUUAGUAUCAAAAUAACCAAAAAGGACAACAUAUUAAUUUGUAACUGUAGUAUGUUUUGAUUUUUAAUAUAUAUGGUACAAUGUGUAUGUUUUGAAAAUAUAACUUUCUUCUACCCUAUGAAAAUAAAGAUAAAAAAUAUUAACAUUAUUGGAUAAGUGGGUUUUUUGGGUCUGGGUUUGAUUUUACCCGAGACCCAUUUAUUUUUAUGGAUUUUCCAUUUUAGAAACCACACCCACCCAAUUAUCCAACCCAACCCAUUUUUUUGGGUUUUCUGGAUGGGUUUGACCGGGUUUUCUGGGUUGACCCAACCCAUGAACACUCCUAGACGGUGCACGUCCUAUUUUUAAGAGUUUUACAUUUAAAGUGAUAUAAUAUCAAUGGUGUUUAUAACCGAUGACAAUUGUCACUUCAUAAGUCAUUUUUGUAAGGUUGGGGGUUGUCAAACUCGAGUUUAUACCUCAAAUCGUUUUGCCUUGGUGAAAUCGAAUUGAAACUCGUAUGAGUUUAUUUCAUGUUAAAAUAAUAUUUUUUGAAGGGAAAAAAUUAUUAUAUAACUCCUUAGACAAUGCAAAAGAGAAACCAAAUAAUUGUGUUUAAUUGAUUAAUGGCUCCACUAAAAGACGAAUUAUUUGAAAAUUUGUUCAAAAAAAAAACCCCAGUUUUAUUUUUUGAUGGAACAAAUUUUAAUCAAGGCUUAAAUAUGCAAAAGGUCCCUGUAAUUUAGCGCAUUUUUGGUUUUCGUCCCUGUAAGUUUUUUUGUUCUAAAACAACCCUUGUAUUUUUGAUUCCAUUUGAAAAUCGUCCCUGCCGUCAGGUUCCGUCAACAAAAACACUUUGUGGGUAACGGAGGCACACGUGGCAGGUUAUAAGUUGGCAAAAUUUGCUGAGAUGGCAAGAGAGAUGAUAAGUAGUGUUAGUACAUGGAUAAAAUUAAAAAAUGUAUACAUCAAAUUUUGAAUUUUAAAAACCAAAUUUUCCAUCUUCUUCCUCUCACUAUUCUUUGUUUCUUCUUAUACCUUGAGAUGUUCCAUCCAAUACCUUGAAAAACUUUUUGCAUAUGAGCUCCAUUAUUGAUUUAAAUUAAGAACAAAGCUUAUAUAGUGGGUUGAAAACGCUUCAGAAUGGUGUUCUUUAUGGUAAUUCGAUCAUGAUUCAAAACACAAGUCUCCCACCAUUGAUGUGAAGGGCAACACAUUCCCAUUAAGAGACAAAUAACCCACUCUUAUCAUGAGCUUAAACUUAUCCAUAAAUAUGCAGUAGCAACGUGAUCAAUCUCAACAAAAUGUAUAUAGUUGAGGUAAUGGUUGAGCCUGAUUCUAAAACAAUAACAACAUACCAUAACAAAAUCCAAAUCAUUUAAUUAGUACAUGUUAAAUUAUAUAAAUUACAGAAAUGAAACAUAAUGAUUGUGCUUAAAACUGAUUUUACCUUUGCAAACAAUUCAAACCAUGAACUACUAUCUCAUGCUUCAUAGUUGAAAUUUGCGAAAAUGGAUUGUAGAAGAGUUAUGUGCCAAAAUUGGUCUUGAUCCACCUCCUUUUGUUUUUGGCUACAACGCACUUCCAAUCUCUGUUGAUGGUGCUUGAUUCCAUACGAGUUUGAUGUUCCAAAGGGGGGAAUUAAUUAUGAUAUUCUGAUGGUUUUUUUAGGUCAAAUGAUGUUUCUUUUUAAUUAUUAUGUUAUGCUAGGGCUAUUACCUUUUUAAUUCUGUUUAUGUUAUGGCUAUGGCCUUCUCGUUGUUUAUGUCUUUAAAUUAGGAUCUAUGUUUAAGUAUUGAGAAAUGAUAUUUGUACAACCACUUUCUCACAACUUUUUGACAAUUUUCUCUCUCAUACUCACAUUAUCCUCUUAUUCUCUCUCUUCCUUUUUCUCUCUCCAUUGUUUUUGACCAAUGAAAAGAGAGAGAAAAGAAGUUGUUACAAAAGUUGUCUCAUAUGGUUGUUCAAAUAACACCACUCUUAAGUAUUUUAUCUCUAUUGAACCAUUAAAAUGUCAAUGGUCAAAAAUCAUUAUGCAAGGCAACAACUUUUGAUUAAUGAAUUUAUUUGGUUCGAAAGAAAAAUGGUAUAAUUGUUAUGGGGAAUUGGGGAAAGGUUGAGAAGAAGAAAAAAUAAAGAAUAGUGACAGGAAGAAGAUGAAAAGUUUGGUUUUUAAAAUUCAAAAUUUGAUGUUUACCUUUUUUUAAUUUCAUCCCUAUGUAAAUUUACGUUUUUGAUUUUAGUCCCUCUACUAACACUACUUAUCAUCUCUCAUGCCAUCUCAGCAAAUUUUGCCAACUCAUAACAUGUCAUGCGUGCCUCCGUUAUCCACCAAAGCGUUUUUGUUGACGGAAUCUGACGGCUGGGACGAUUUUCAAAAGGAAUCGAAAAUACAAGGGUUGUUUUAGAAAAAAAAAAACUUAUUGGGACGAAAACAAAAAAUACGCUAAAUUAUAUGAACCUUUUACAUAUUUAAGCUUUUCAUGACCGAACUCCACGUUAUUAGGUGAUUCCACUCAAAAUUGGAUAAAAAAAAGGGUUAAUUAAGUUUUUGGUCCCUAUAAAUAUCUGCAGUUUUGUUUUUAGUCCUUAUAAAAAUAAAUCACACUUUUUAGUCCCUAUAGAAUUUUCCGUUAGUGUUUUUAGUCCUUGUUAAAUUAAAAUUUGUUUAAUUAUGCUUAAAAUUUUAAAAUUUUUAAUGAUUUUAUACAUACUUGUUUAAAACAUUAUAAAAGGUUCUGCCACAAUAAAUUAGCUCAAAAAAUUAUUUUUAGGUCCAAAUUUUCGUUAGUUUUAUCUUGAAUUUUUGGUAUAUUAAAAAAAUUAUAUUUAAUUCAUUACAUGUUAAAAAAUUCUAGUAUAAUUAAACAAAUUUCAAUUUAACAGGGACCAACACAUACUUUUGGUCCGUGUAAAAUUUAAAUUUACUUAAUUGUGCUUAAAAUUUUAAAUUUGUAACAUAUUUUUCACAUACUUACUUAGAAUAGUAUACAAAGUUCCUCUGCAAAAAAGUAACUUAAAAUUUUAUUAUUAGGUCCAAAUUUUCAUUAAUAUAAUAUUGAAAAUUUGACUUUUAGAAAAAUUCAUAUUUAAUUCAUUAUAUGUUAAAAAACAAAAAAAAUAUUACAAAAGAGUGUCUUACGAUGUUAUGAACAUCUAUGUAAAAAAUCUUUCAAAAAUUUAAAAGUUUAAGCAUAAUUAAACAAAUUUUAAUUUAACAGAAACUAAAAAAGUGUUAUUUAUUUUUAUAUGGACUAAAAACAAAACUGCAUUUAUUUACCGGAAAAAAAAAAUGGAAGAGAGAUAAAUAUCUUAUGAUUACUAAGGAUGAAUUAGUAAAAUGCCACCAAAAAAUCAUAUCCUACCUUAUCAUCAUGCACCCUUUCAUUUUGCAACCGUUCCUCUCACUUCCAUAAAUAUCACACUCCUCAACCCUUUUCCAAACCCUCACUCACUCUCUUCUUCAAUAAACCCUAAUUUCCUCAUUCUCUCAAAACCUUAUCCAUUUCCUUAAACCAUGUCUACCUCUGCAACAUCCUUAGUACUUCCAUCUCUCUUCACCAAAAACUCCCCUCAAUGUUUCUCUUCACUCCCUUCUCUUUCCCUCAACCCUAAUUUCAAACCCUUUUCCUUUUCCUCUGUUUCUCUUCGUCCAUCUUUGUCUAUUUCCCAUCGUUUCAUUUCUCGUGUCGCUGUUUCUUCUGAAUUUGACCAGGAAGAAGAUACCUUUGAUGAUGGUGAUGAUACCCCUAGUUAUUCUCCUAACCAGAGGUUGUUUGUUGGUAACCUUCCUUUCAGUGUUGACAGUGCUCAACUUGCUGAGAUUUUUGAAAACGCUGGGGAUGUUGAAAUGGUCGAGGUAACUUGCUUAAUUAGAUACCCUUUUGGAUGAAAAUGAUUGGGUUUGUGAUAAUUUCUUAUAAAGUUUGGUUUUUUAUGGUUUAACUGGAUACCCUUUUGGAUGAAAAUUAUUGGGUAAAGGUUAAUUUAUUACAAAGUUUGGUUUUUUAUUGUUUAAUUGAGCACCCUUUUGGAUGAAAAAUAAUGGGCUUGUGGUGAAUUUAAUUGGAUUGGUGUUAAAUUUUGAAAUUUGUGUUUUUUCUAGGUGAUUUAUGAUAAGAGUACUGGAAGAAGCAGAGGAUUUGGUUUUGUUACUAUGUCUUCUGCAGCUGAAGUUGAAGCGGCUGCUCAGCAGUUGAAUGGCUAUGUGAGUUUAUUUUUCAUCAUUUGUUUGAUGAUUAUUUAGAUGUUUUGUUUUUAGAAUUUCAGUUUUUGUUAGUUGUUUGAAAUUGAGUAUGGUAAUUGUUGUGUGUGUAUGAGUAAUUAAAUUAAGUUCAAAUGUUAUUGGGUAUGAAUGUGACUGCAGUACCAUAAUAGUACACAAUUUGCUCACACAAACAUGUUUUAAUUUAAUUUAAUCAAUGGUUUAAUUAUGUAUUGAUGAAUUUAAAUAGUUACAAGUAAUUAGGCAUACCCCUUGUAUAGGUAUUUUAUCAAAAUGUGGAUAAGGUGAUAACUAUGGUAGUACCUUAUCCACAUCUACCCAUUGUAACUCCUAUAUCUGAGUUUGCAUGAUGUGAAAAGUGAAUAUGUUUUGCUAUUGUUUGUUAUUCUUUGCUGUGUUAUGAAUGGUUUUGGCCGUUUUGUUUAUAACAUCUAAGGAAACAUUUUUUGAAAUUUACAGGUGGUGGAUGGAAGAGAAUUGAGAGUGAAUGCUGGACCACCACCUCCUCCUCGUAGUGAGAACUCCCGUUUUGGUGAGAAUCCUCGUUUUGGUGGUGAUCGUCCAAGAGGUCCUCCAAGAGGUGGUUCUUCAGAUGGUGACAACCGUGUUCAUGUUGGUAACCUUGCUUGGGGUGUUGACAACUUGGCACUUGAGUCAUUGUUUGGUGAACAAGGACAGGUUUUGGAAGCAAAGGUAAUCUAUGACAGGGAAAGUGGAAGAUCUAGAGGAUUUGGCUUUGUGACUUUCAGUAGCGCUGAUGAGGUCGACAGUGCUAUUCGAACCUUAGAUGGCGCGGUAUGCAUGCAAAUCCCUCCUCUAUGCAACAUGAUGCACUUUUUAAUUUCAUAAUUCAAAUUAGUUUUAUGUUACUUUUAGAUUAUGAGUUAGAAUUCUGGGACCCUAAUUUUUUAAUUAUGAAGGGGUUAAGUCCCUUGGAGGUUUCAAAGUCAUUGAGUUGUAAUUUUGUGUCUUUGACUCUUCAUGUGUGAAUUGGUGUUAUGUAAAGCUAUAUUAUGUAUCUUCAAUUAUGUAUUUAACCACCGAAAUCUUGUAUCAUCUGGUUUUUUUUUUU